rnacentral:tRNA from 1 species
GCGGAUAUGGUUGAAUGGUAAAA